rnacentral:rRNA from 1 species
GACGGAGGAUGCAAGUGUUAUCCGGAAUCACUGGGCGUAAAGCGUCUGUAGGUGGCCAAAUAAGUCAACUGUUAAAUCUUGAGGCUCAACCUCAAAAUCGCAGUCGAAACUAUUAGACUAGAGUAUAGUAGGGGUAAAGGGAAUUUCCAGUGGAGCGGUGAAAUGCGUAGAGAUUGGAAAGAACACCGAUGGCGAAGGCACUUUACUGGGCUAUUACUAACACUCAGAGACGAAAGCUAGGGUAGCAAAUGGG